GCGGACAGCUGGGCCCACUCACUGUCCAGAGAGCCAGCUGCUCCCCGGGAACAACUUCACCAACGAGUGCAACAUUCCGGGCAACUUCAUGUGCAGCAACGGGCGGUGCAUCCCAGGCGCCUGGCAGUGCGACGGGCUGCCCGACUGCUUCGACAAGAGCGACGAGAAGGAGUGUCAAACCUCGAUGAUGGUUUCCCAUGGAAAUGAUUUCUAAGAUGGCUAUUGGUCCUGCGAGUCCCUGAAAGAAGAGACUGCGCUUCAUUGCUACCACUUGCUGUCAUAAUCAAGCAGCGAUCCCCACCUCCAGGGCCCACGUGUGACCUGGAAUCCAGGCCCUAACGUCCACUUCCAGCUUCCAGUUUCCAGCUUCCUGUCGGAUCCUCGCUGCCACCUCUGUGCCCUGACCAAAUGGGGGCGAGGAGGUGUGAGAUCCGCGGCUCAUUCUUCUCUUGGAGAAAUAAUAUUGGUCUGUAUCUUUGAGCAGGCACGUGCAGACUUUUAAAGACACAGGCCCUUUAUGUUUGUGUGGGGUGGGGGUGGGGGAUGGAGGGAGGUAAGAGGAAAUGGGGAUAAAUGCAAGGAUUUUGUCCAGUAAUAAAGUGUAAUACAUUUCCAAGUUCAGAGACAUUGAAAAUAGGUCAAAAAUGGAAUUUAAAUUGUAUUUGCUUUUACUCUUCCCAACCGUUUCUUGAGCAUGGCUUUUAAGGGCUCUGGUGUG